rnacentral:tRNA from 1 species
GUUUAUAUGGCCGAGUUGGUCUAAGGCGCCAGAUUAGGGUUCUGGUCCGAAGGGGUGGUUAAAAUCCCACUGGUAACA